GGGCAGGGAUGUGGGGCAGGGAUGUGGGGCAGGGAUGUGGGGCAGCUCUGGGGUGCUGCUAUGGGGCAGCUGUGGGACAUGAGGACAGACGUGGGGACACAACAGGACACGGGGACGUCGGGAUGGGACGCCGUGAGGGGACAGCGGGACAGACGGGGGGACAGACGGACACACGGACAGCCGUGGGGACACACAGCUGUGGGGACAGAGGGCUACGGGGACAGACAGACGGACAGCCAUUAGGACAGAUGGACAGACAGAUGGACAGACAGAUGGACAGGCAGGCGGACAGGCAGGCGGACAGGCAGAUGGACAGACACACAAGCAGGCGGACAGACAGACGGACAGGCAGGCAGACGGACAGGCGGACGGACGGACGGA
rnacentral:lncRNA from 1 species